rnacentral:rRNA from 1 species
UGGGGAAUAUUGCACAAUGGACGGAAGUCUGAUGCAGCAACGCCGCGUGCGGGAUGACGGCCUUCGGGUUGUAAACCGCUUUUUCUCAUGACGAAGUUUUUUGACGGUAGUGGGGGAAGAAGCACCGGCUAACUACGUGCCAGCAGCCGCGGUGAUACGUAGGGUGCGAGCGUUGUCCGGAAUUAUUGGGCGUAAAGAGCUUGUAGGCGGUUUGUCGCGUCGAUAGUGCAAACUCAGUGCUUAACGCUGAGCCUGCUGUUGAUACGGGCAGACUAGAGGAAGGUAGGGGAGAAUGGAAUUCCCGGUGGAGCGGUGGAAUGCGCAGAUAUCGGGAGGAACACCGGUGGCGAAGGCGGUUCUCUGGGCCUUUCCUGAAGCUGAGAAGCGAAAGCGUGGGGAGCGAACAGG